GUGCUCGCUUCGGCAGCACAUAUACUAAAAUUGAAAGGAUACAGAGAAGAUUAGCAUGGCCCCUGUGCAAGGACGACACACAAAUUCAUGAAGCAUUCCACAUUUUU
rnacentral:snRNA from 1 species